rnacentral:rRNA from 1 species
GACGAACGCUGGCGGCGUGCUUAACACAUGCAAGUCGAACGGAAAGGCCCUGCUUUUGUGGGGUGCUCGAGUGGCGAACGGGUGAGUAACACGUGAGUAACCUGCCCUUGACUUUGGGAUAACUUCAGGAAACUGGGGCUAAUACCGGAUAGGAGCUCCUGCUGCAUGGUGGGGGUUGGAAAGUUUCGGCGGUUGGGGAUGGACUCGCGGCUUAUCAGCUUGUUGGUGGGGUAGUGGCUUACCAAGGCUUUGACGGGUAGCCGGCCUGAGAGGGUGACCGGCCACAUUGGGACUGAGAUACGGCCCAGACUCCUACGGGAGGCAGUAGUGGGGAAUAUUGCACAAUGGGCGGAAGCCUGAUGCAGCAACGCCGCGUGCGGGAUGACGGCCUUCGGUUUGUAAACCGCUUUCGCCUGUGACGAAGCGUGAGUGACGGUAAUGGGUAAAGAAGCACCGGCUAACUACGUG